rnacentral:rRNA from 1 species
CCCCGCUUGCGGGGGGAUUAGUGGCGAACGGGUGAGUAACACGUGAGUAACCUGCCCUUAACUCUGGGAUAAGCCUGGGAAACUGGGUCUAAUACUGGAUAUUGACUUUUCACCGCAUGGUGUUUGGUUGAAAGAUUUAUUGGUUUUGGAUGGACUCGCGGCCUAUCAGCUUGUUGGUGGGGUAAUGGCCUACCAAGGCGACGACGGGUAGCCGGCCUGAGAGGGUGACCGGCCACACUGGGACUGAGACACGGCCCAGACUCCUACGGGAGGCAGCAGUGGGGAAUAUUGCACAAUGGGCGCAAGCCUGAUGCAGCGACGCCGCGUGAGGGAUGACGGCCUUCGGGUUGUAAACCUCUUUCAGUAGGGAACAAGGCCAUCUUUUGGGUGGUUGAGGGUACUUGCAGAAGAAGCGCCGGCUAACUACGUGCCAGCAGCCGCGGUAAUACGUAGGGCGCAAGCGUUAUCCGGAAUUAUUGGGCGUAAAGAGCUCGUAGGCGGUUUGUCGCGUCUGCCGUGAAAGUCCGGGGCUCAACUCCGGAUCUGCGGUGGGUACGGGCAGACUAGAGUGAUGUAGGGGAGACUGGAAUUCCUGGUGUAGCGGUGAAAUGCGCAGAUAUCA